GUAUAUUGUGCGGAAAAAUCUCUACUGAAUGACAAAUCCAAGCAAUGUAAGUGACCUAACAUUUCACUGGUUGUAUGGUACAUCUCAUACAAUUUCUGAAUUCCAAUACCGUUCUUGUGUAGCUGGAUACUCCAUGGGACAAAGUUGAAGCUUUGUACAUCACUUCUCUACCUGUUUAUUAAUGUUUCUUCAUGUUUGGCAGUGAUCUGGGUUUCCAUGUACUUGAUAGAUGCAUUCCUUAUCUUUAUGUGUUCCAUCUAUGUAUAUAUGUUUCUGCCCAUAAAUGUAUUUAUGAGCUUGCUCUGUUUUUACUGCUUUCCUAUGUCAAUUUGAAAAGUACCCUUUAUUCCCCUAAAAAGGGCUAUACAUGCAUUUAAACGAGUGCACAUUUUCUAUAAACAUAAGCAUUGUCUUUACCCCACUGCUCUCUGGUGUGCAGCGAUGAAGAUUUCAUGCUCAACCUCCCUCACGGCCCCGGGUUCGGCUACUUUCCAGUUUUGUUAGUUUUCUUCUUGGUAGCACUGAACACCAUGGCAACAUGGGUGUCGUGGCCACACACAUGCAUUUUGUCGUCCUCCUUAAAAUUCAAUUAGAUUAUAUGCAAACAUGCAGUCGUGUUUACUUAAGAUCCAAUUAGAUGAAUGAUGUUUAUUUUUCCAUAUAGUUUCUAUUUAGAAAGGCCUCAUAUGCAAGUUGGGGACAUGCCGUGAACAUAUGGUUUUGUGAUAUAUGGUCUUGAGUCAUAUGUUGGAUGGGUGAUAAUGGAAAUUUUCUUGAGGAUAAACCCGUGCAUAAGUUUUGUGAGAGUUAAACCUGUUUUAUGAGAGGUAAAGCUGUUUUUUGAGAGUUAAACCCGUGCAUACGAAUGUAUUUUUUUUAGAACUGGUCAAACUAUUUUUUGUGAGAGUUAAAGUUGUUUUCUAGAGGACAAACCCAUGAAUAAGUUUCUCAUCUGUAGAGAUUAAUUAAUAGGAUGGUAAUUUAAGUUUAUUGGAGCUCUUUUUAAGAAGUGGGGGUCUGCUUUGGUUUCUUGCUGUUUGCAUAUUCUCUUAAAAACACUUGACUGACUGCAGCUGACUGUUUAUACAUCAAUAAUAUGGGCAGUUGAAUAUGGCGUUUUCAAGUGAAGGAUUUCAAAAAUCUAAUAUGGCAUGCCUAUUUUUCAUGGAAAAACAAAUGGUACCUUAUUUACUAUUUAGUUUUUAAGCUAGACUAAUUUGACUACACGCGUCCUGAGGUGCCUUCUGUUUUGGAAUAGUCAUAGAAUGCUCCUUAUUACGAGAUGUUCCUUUGUCACUAUUGGAAAUUCUGCCUAGGGUGGCCUUUGUCUUAGUUUACAGCUUCAUAUGGCUACCUAUGUAUAACAUAUGUAUGUUCUGUUUGAACCAUCUCAAAUCACAUAGAGAUGUUAAAUUUUCAAUGUGUUGCCUCGCGGUCGUGUGCCAUCACCAUGUUUACUCCAGAAAAGUGGAAUGUGCAGAGUUUCUUGUUGAUUAGUCAAAUAUUUGCUUUGCCUUAAAGACUGUCCCCAUCUAUGUUCCAGGUUGUGGCAACGCUGCAGAUAUGCCCAUUGCCAUUGAGCAUUUCUAUCUAUAUGCUUAUACAGAGUAUUUGGUUUUUGUACUAUACGCUUGAUGAAAUAAUUUCCUUAUAAGCUGGGACAAGGCGUUUGUAGUUGAUAUUUGUACUAUAAGCUCAAUUUUUUUGGUUCAUCUCAUCUCUGGUUAUUUUUUCGUUUUUUGUGUUUCUGCAGCAUAUUAUCAUUAGCAUAUAAAACCUCUUAUCUUUCUUGUUUUCAACAAUUAUUCUUUGGCAGGGAAGACUAUGAUAACACUAAGAUUAUCAGGAAAGGAUUCAGGGCUUUUUUUGAAUCCAGAUUAUCACACAUGAUGCAAAAUUAACAACCAUGACUUUGAAAUAUGGAUGAUGAUGCUUAUUAUGUGCUAGAAAUCAAAUAUGUAAAGGAGAAGAUAAUGUUUGCGAAGGUGUGUAUACUGAACAAGCAUCCUAAUUGAUGUGUUUUCCUGUUGUUUCUUGAUGUGCCCUCAUGCAGCUGUGUCCAUAUAUACUGAUUGUUAUACUUAUUGUUGUGUGAGUUGCAGGAGAGGGGAGAGAGAUACGGGUUGAUUCUGGGUAAACUUUGCUUAAUUUGUUGGAGAAAAUGCUCGAUAGAUCUCAUGGAUGGAUGAGGUUGUGGCAGUAGUUCUCGGGUGCAAUAUCUAUCUUGAUAGAGUGAUCAACUAGGGCACAUUAGAAGCAGAAGAGGAAACGUUUGGGCCGUCUAUGGUGUUGAAGAUUCAGUGUUUCUGUCUUGUGUACAUGCACGGCCAGUUCAGUAACUAGAUGGCCUUUUCUACUGUACUGGCGCUGCUACUUUUCACAUGCUAGCUUCUUUGGAAAGCGCCAACAGUGUGUACAACAUGUAAAGAGUCCAUCUUGAAGGAACAGAAGCGGAAGUAUGGAGCUGAUGUAUUAAUGGUCAAUCAAGGAAUUCAGUCUCGAUGAGCUUAACUAAUGAUGUGUGAGUUGAGCCUUAGGUCAUUUUCAAAGUAACGGAAGUACAAGAGAUUACUUGAAAAUAAACAUUUUUUCAAUGCGACAUGGUCUUAAGUGCGAUUUUAUACCACCAAAUUAAAAUAUCAUUGUAGACAACAGGCCUAUAUUUUUAUUUUAUUUUAUUAAAGGGUUAAACUUGUUAUCGUAUGUGUUUGCCCACAACUAAAUCAAAACAUGAUUUU
rnacentral:lncRNA from 1 species